ACGUCAAGUCAUCAUGGCCCUUAUGUCCAGGGCGACACACGUGCUACAAUGGCCGGCACAACGGGAAGCGAGUUCGCGAGGACGAGCGGAUCCCUUAAAGACCGGUCGCAGUUCGGAUUGAAGUCUGCAACUCGACUUCAUGAAGCUGGAAUCGCUAGUAAUCGUGGAUCAGCCAAGCCGCGGUGAAUACGUUCCCGGGCCUU
rnacentral:rRNA from 1 species